UAAGUUGGUAGUGAAAGCGUUCGGCUCAACCGAAUAUCCAUUAUCAAAACUGCAAAGCUAGAGGAUGAGAGAGGUUAUUGGAAUUCCCAGUGUAGGAGUGAAAUCCGUAGAUAUUGGGAGGAACACCGAUGGCGUAGGCAGAUAACUGGCUCAUUCCUGACACUAAGGCACGAAAGCGUGGGGAGCAAACGGGAUUAGGUACCCCGGUAGUCCACGCCGUAAACUAUGGAUGCUA
rnacentral:rRNA from 1 species